GGCUUUAAAAAGAGCAGCCUGGGCCGGGCGCGGUGGCUCACAAAACACACAUUUAUUAUUGUAUCUUACAGUUUCUGUGGGUCAGGAAUGUGUGUACUGCUUGGCUGGGUCCUCUGCUUAAGGUCUCACAAGGCUGCAGCCAAGGUGUCAGCUGGGCUUUUCUCCUCUGGAGGCUCGGCAUGGGAAGAACACACUUGCAAGUUCCCAGAAUUCAAUUCCUUGCAGCUAUAAAAGUGAGUUUUAGGCUGGGUGCGGUGGCUCAUGCCUGCAAUCCCAGCACUUUGGGAGGCUGAGGUGGGCGGAUCACCUGAGGUCAGGGGUUUGAACAAGCCUGGCCAACAUGGUGAAACCCCAUCUCUACUAAAAAUGCAAAAAAAUUAGCCAGGCGUGGUGGCAGGCGCCAGCUACUCGGGAGGCUGAUGCAGGAGAAUCACUUCAACCCGGGAGGCGGAAGUUGCAGUGAGCCAAGAUCGUGCCAUUGCACUCCAGCCUGGGCAACAGAGCAAGACUGUCUCAAAAAAAAACCAACAAAAAAAGUGAGUUUUAGUUUUUUGUUGGCUGUUAGAGGAGCUGCCCUCAAGUCCCUAGGGCCUCCCAUGGUUCCCUGCGCUGUGGCCUUCCCCACGGGUCAUUCAUGACGUGGCAAUUGGCUUCUUCAUGGCCAGCAAAAUGUAACAUAAUGUAGUCAAGAUGGAGUGCCAUCCAUCACACUGGCCGUAUUCCAUUGGUUAGAAGUGAGUCACAGGUC
rnacentral:lncRNA from 1 species